rnacentral:rRNA from 1 species
CCUACGGGGGGCAGCAGUGAGGAAUAUUGGUCAAUGGACGAGAGUCUGAACCAGCCAAGUAGCGUGAAGGAUGACUGCCCUAUGGGUUGUAAACUUCUUUUAUAUGGGAAUAAAAUGUUCCACGUGUGGGAUUUUGUAUGUACAAUAUGAAUAAGGAUCGGCUAACUCCGUGCCAGCAGCCGCGGUAAUACGGAUGAUCCGAGCGUUAUCCGGAUUUAUUGGGUUUAAAGGGAGCGUAGGUGGAUUGUUAAGUCAGUUGUGAAAGUUUGCGGCUCAACCGUAAAAUUGCAGUUGAAACUGGCAGUCUUGAGUACAGUAGAGGUGGGCGGAAUUCGUGGUGUAGCGGUGAAAUGCUUAGAUAUCACGAAGAACUCCGAUUGCGAAGGCAGUUCACUGGACUGCAACUGACACUGAGGCUCGAAAGUGUGGGUAUCAAACAGGAUUAGAUACCCGGGUAGUC